rnacentral:rRNA from 1 species
UACGUAGGGUGCGAGCGUUGUCCGGAAUUAUUGGGCGUAAAGAGCUUGUAGGCGGUCUGUCGCGUCUGCUGUGAAAAUCCGGGGCUCAACCCCGGACUUGCAGUGGGUACGGGCAGACUAGAGUGUGGUAGGGGAGACUGGAAUUCCUGGUGUAGCGGUGGAAUGCGCAGAUAUCAGGAGGAACACCGAUGGCGAAGGCAGGUCUCUGGGCCGCAACUGACGCUGAGGAGCGAAAGCAUGGGGAGCGAACAGG